rnacentral:rRNA from 1 species
UGGGGAAUCUUCCGCAAUGGACGAAAGUCUGACGGAGCAACGCCGCGUGAGUGAAGACGGCCUUCGGGUUGUAAAGCUCUGUGAUUCGGGACGAAAGGCCAUAUGUGAAUAAUAUAUGGAAAUGACGGUACCGAAAAAGCAAGCCACGGCUAACUACGUGCCAGCAGCCGCGGUAAUACGUAGGUGGCAAGCGUUGUCCGGAAUUAUUGGGCGUAAAGCGCGCGCAGGCGGUCACUUAAGUCCAUCUUAGAAGUGCGGGGCUUAACCCCGUGAUGGGAUGGAAACUGGGAGACUGGAGUAUCGGAGAGGAAAGUGGAAUUCCUAGUGUAGCGGUGAAAUGCGUAGAUAUUAGGAAGAACACCGGUGGCGAAUGCGACUUUCUGGACGAAAACUGACGCGGAGGCGCGAAAGCGUGGGGAGCAAACAGG